rnacentral:pre_miRNA from 1 species
UUUAAUUUUUGACUCUUCGUUUUAUUUAAAUUUUUUUAAAAUUGAUAUUUUUGUUUUUAUUAGAUAAAAAAUCAUGAAUAGUACUUUACGUGUGAUUAAUUUUUUUUUAAUUUUUUUAAAAUUUUUUAAAUAAGACGGAUAAUAAAGGUUAGACACGGAAAUCGAAACCAACG